UACGGAGGGGGCUAGCGUUGUUCGGAAUCACUGGGCGUAAAGGGUGCGUAGGCGGGUCUUUAAGUCAGGGGUGAAAUCCUGGAGCUCAACUCCAGAACUGCCUUUGAUACUGAAGAUCUUGAGUUCGGGAGAGGUGAGUGGAACUGCGAGUGUAGAGGUGAAAUUCGUAGAUAUUCGCAAGAACACCAGUGGCGAAGGCGGCUCACUGGCCCGAUACUGACGCUGAGGCACGAAAGCGUGGGGAGCAAACGGG
rnacentral:rRNA from 1 species